rnacentral:rRNA from 1 species
ACAUCCAGCGAACUUGGCAGAGAUGCCUUGGUGCCUUCGGGAACGCUGAGACAGGUGCUGCAUGGCUGUCGUCAGCUCGUGUUGUGAAAUGUUGGGUUAAGUCCCGNAACGAGCGCAACCCUUAUCCUUUGUUGCCAGCGAUUCGGUCGGGAACUCAAAGGAGACUGCCGGUGAUAAACCGGAGGAAGGUGGGGAUGACGUCAAGUCAUCAUGGCCCUUACGAGUAGGGCUACACACGUGCUACAAUGGCGCAUACAAAGAGAAGCGACCUCGCGAGAGCAAGCGGACCUCAUAAAGUGCGUCGUAGUCCGGAUCGGAGUCUGCAACUCGACUCCGUGAAGUCGGAAUCGCUAGUAAUCGUGGAUCAGAAUGCCGCGGUGAAUACGUUCCCGGGCCUUGUACACACCGCCCGUCACACCAUGGGAGUGGGUUGCAAAAGAAGUAGGUAGCUUAACCUUCGGGAGGGCGCUUACCACUUUGUGAUUCAUGACUGGGGUGAAGUCGUAACAAGGUAAGCGUAGCGAG